rnacentral:rRNA from 1 species
AUUGAACGCUGGCGGCAGGCCUAACACAUGCAAGUCGAAUGGUAACAGGAAACAGCUUGCUGUUUCGCUGACGAGUGGCGGACGGGUGAGUAAUGUCUGGGAAACUGCCUGAUGGAGGGGGAUAACUACUGGAAACGGUAGCUAAUACCGCAUAACGUCGCAAGACCAAAGAGGGGGACCUUCGGGCCUCUUGCCAUCAGAUGUGCCCAGAUGGGAUUAGCCAGUAGGUGGGGUAACGGCUCACCUAGGCGACGAUCCCUAGCUGGUCUGAGAGGAUGACCAGCCACACUGGAACUGAGACACGGUCCAGACUCCUACGGGAGGCAGCAGUGGGGAAUAUUGAACAAUGGGCGCAAGCCUGAUGCAGCCAUGCCGCGUGUAUGAAGAAGGCCUUCGGGUUGUAAAGUACUUUCAGCGGGGAGGAAGGGAGUAAAGUUAAUACCUUUGCUCAUUGACGUUACCCGCAGAAGAAGCACCGGCUAACUCCGUG